GAUGCCAGUGUCAAAAGGUCAUGAUUCUCAUGCUUGCAUGAAAAAUCAUGACUUUGGGACCCGCUAAACAUGAGAAAGUAGCCAUUUUUCGAAGAAAAAUGAGCGGAUUUCGAAUGUUUAGCGGAUUUUGGGAGCGCGAAGCGCGGAAAAUCCGAAGGCAU
rnacentral:sRNA from 1 species